UCUUCCUCCCCAGUGCUGGGAUUAAAGGCGUGCGCCACCACCGCCCGGCUUAAUCCUAGCCCGGCUUAAUCUAAUGUCAAUUAAUGUGGGUUACUUGUGGCCAGCCUCUGGUCUACAGAGUUCCAGGACAGCCGAAGCUGUUUAAUAAAGAAGCUCUGUCUUGAAAAGCUAGGUUCAGUGGAAGGGGGAUGGAUGACCUUCAAAAGGUCUAAGGUGAUUUUUCAAGACAAGUGUUUCUACUUGUACCUCUGUCCUGAACUCUAGACCUGGCUGAAUCACUUCUCAGUUGGUCUUAGGAUUCUAUGGGUAAUGCCUUCCAUGUAGUUAUGGGGUUUUAGAAAUACGGUUUAUUUAGUCCUCGAGGGAGUGGCUGAAAAUGAAAAUACUGUUGCUAGUGGGUGACUAUCACCUCAGUGGGGCACGUGGGAGACAGAACAAGCUGCCCCCUGGCACAGGCCAUAAUUUUGGAUAUUUUUGGACACUGAAAUAGGAAUUUAACGAGGCUACUGAUCAAUGUGGAGAAAUUAAAAAUUAAAGGGGUAGAGGUGGCUUGGCAGAGCACUGGCAGUUCUGUUGGAGUACCUGGAUUUCCUGACUUCAAUAAUGCUGAUGCCCUCGUGGCAUCUGAGGGCAUGUAUGUACACGGACAUAGGAUGCACAUAAAUGGAGGGUUAAUUUAAGAGGAUGGGGCUCUAGGUAAGUACUGAAAAACAAAACCCAAAUACACAGGCUAGAAAUAGCUACAGUGGAAUGUGGCACUAACCUCAGACUUCUGACUAAAGACUGAUGAAGGCUGUGCCCCUUAAAACAAGCACAUUGAGGAUGUCUGCUGCUUUUUUGGCCUCAACCUCAAGUUUUGGCUGCCUGGCUGUUCUUGUAGAGGGCCCAGGUUCAAUUCCCAGUACCCAUAAUGGGAUGGUUCACAAUCACCUAUAAUGCCAGUUCCAGGGGAUUCAACACCCUCUUGCCUUUUUGGGAACCGUUACACAUGUGGUGCACAUAUGCAUACUUAGGGCAUGGGUACACAAACGCUAAAUAUGUCUUCACACAAACUGCAUACUUAGUAGUUGCAGCAGUGCUCAUGACCUGUAAAUGGAAGUAAUCCAAAAUGUCGGUUCACUGAGGAAUAAAAAUGGGUAUGCAUGAGAUGUCAUUCAUUAAUAAGGAGGACUUAAGUGUUGAUAUACGUUAUAAUGUGGAUGAAACCUGAACUCACAGGCUAGACAAAAGGGUCAGGUAUGAAUCAUUCAUUCUAUGUGCCCUCAGCAAAUCCAGACCGAAAGCCGAGGAGCAUGGAUGUAAGGUCUGAGGAGUGACCACUAGUAGAUGUGGGUUUCUCUCGCAGAUGAAGUGUUGUGGAAUUAAAUAGCGACUUCAGAGCUACAUGAAAACACUACAUGGCCACUGAAUGUAAAAGUCCCCUUUAAAAGCAGGGAACGACUACUAUGAUAUGUAAAUCUGAAUAAAAAGGUCAGAACUGGACUGGUUUUAGCAGAGACCUUGGUCCUCUGUUGGUCGUCGUCUUUUGCGAUGCAGGGAGGAGAGUCAUACACAUUCUGUUCUGUGUUCCAAGUGCCUUCAGACGCUAUUUCACCUGCUUAAAGUUCUUAGAGACACGAUGAGUAGCUAAGAUCUAUUUUCUACAGAGAAACCUAGGGUAAGACACCUUGGUCCCUCAGUCAGAAGGAUCUUCCAACAGCACAUUUCCCCGUCCUCUACGGAGUCAUUGCUACGAGGCUGAACCUGCUGUCGAAGUGUCCCGUGUUCCAAGCAUCCCUGGCUGCCUCCCCCGGAGCAAAAGGCUAAGUCGCCCUGGAUGAAGUCUCGGCACUGGACAACAGGCAGUUAAGUACGCAGAGAUCACUCGGGCGUACCUAAACUCCCCAGAUCCCACUCUUCGCUCAGAACGCUCGUGGAAACUGUUCUGGUUGGGGCCACUGCGCAUCCCAGUGGGCAAACUGAACUGCAUAGUUCUCCGUCCCGCACAGAGGGCGCACCUGAAGCCUUCGCCGGCGUGCACCUUCCCGGACGGACGGCCUCAACCCGAGUCAGGCGGACGCGCAGAAAGGACGUCACUUCCGGUCACGCGCAGUCUUCACCCUGAAGCCUGCUUCCAGCAAGUCUCGGUGAGUCUGUUCCUCUGCAGUCUCCUCCUGGCCGCCGGGACUGUGGCCCUUCUUGCCUCGCGUGGGUGUGUUUCACAGAGAAGCUCCGGCAUACCCGUGCUUGUUUCCGGAGUCCAUCCUGAGAACUCCGCAUCUUCCAGAUGCGCCAGGAUCCGGAUGCGGAAUCCGGGACAGGGAGCGACCGGGCCGCCAGGGAUGCCGGGAAGGGUGCUUAUGCUGUCAGUGGGCACCGACGAUAAAGAGUGCUUCAGUGGACUUUUCCAGAGAACCGAUGCCAUUUCUUCUCAAGCAAGUGUUUGGUGGAGCGUAGUCCGGGUGGCUUAGGAAGAAAGAACUACCAUUUCGAGGAGAGCAGCUUGGACUCACAUCGUUCGGCUGACCUGCCAUGCUCAGCCGGCAGCUUUCGAUGACCAAGCCUGUGAAAUAUGCUACAGUAUUCCACCCGCAGGAUCAACUGGGAACACACUUCCCAUCAUUCCGCAGACCUUACCACACACCUGGGGUUGGCAAGGAUGGCUUAGUGGGUAAAGGCACCUGCUGAGAAACCUGGGACCUUUAGAAGCUGUCCUCUGACCUCCAGACGUGAACUCUGACACAACUGCCUCGCCGUGAAUAAAUCUAAAACAACAAAACCCACAAAAAACAACCCCACGGGCUGGAGGGGUGCUCGGUUAGUAAAGUGGCCGCUGUGUGAGCGUGAGGACCACACUGAGAUCCCAGCACACCCACAGAAAGCCAGGCAUGAGGGCUGGUGAGACGACUCGGAGGGGAGAGGCUCCAGGAUCAGGACCCACACGGUGGAAGCAGAGAACCAACUCCUGUGAGUUGUUCUGAUCUUCACUUGUGUGCUGUGGCUCACACAGUCCCACAGAAUAAAUAAAUAAAACUCAAAUCUUCAAAGCUGGA